rnacentral:rRNA from 1 species
GAUGAACGCUGGCGGCGUGCUUAACACAUGCAAGUCGAACGGAAAGGCUCCUGCUUGCAGGGGUACUCGAGUGGCGAACGGGUGAGUAACACGUGGGUGAUCUGCCCUGCACUUCGGGAUAAGCCUGGGAAACUGGGUCUAAUACCGGAUAGGACCACAUUUUGGAUGGUGUGGUGGAAAGUUUUUCGGUGUGGGAUGAGCUCGCGGCCUAUCAGCUUGUUGGUGGGGUAAUGGCCUACCAAGGCGUCGACGGGUAGCCGGCCUGAGAGGGUGUACGGCCAAUGGGGAAGAGAGAAAGGAACCAAAGACAGGCGGGGGAAGGGAGGGGGAAAUGGGGAACAGGGGGCAAAGGCUGAAGGAAGGGUCGCGGGGGGGGGGGUGAGGGCUGUGGGGGUGAAAGUUCCUAUGGCGGGGGAAAAGGGUUUUUUGUGACGGUACAGGGAGAAGAAGCCCCGGAUAACUACGUG